AGAGGAUGAGAAUUUAUGCCCCAGGGUAGGAAUGAUACUCCCCAAUUCAGGGCUGCAAAGCCCGUGUCUCAGCAGCCAGUGUUUGCUGAGGUGGGGCUGGGGUAUGGCAUUCCCUGCGUGAUCUCUGCUUUGUGAACCAAGAAAAACACAUGGAAAUUAAAGCUUCUGUUACUCUCCCCCUCCAAGCAACAUGACCUUUCCCCAGGUGCUGGGUUUCUCUGACUGGAUGACUUUAUGAGUCCUUGUAAUCAAAGCCACCUUUUCACUUCGUUCUGCACUUCCCAUCUGCCAUUCCCACCCCAGGUGUGAUUAGUCCCAUUGCUUACUAAAGGGUUUUCCCUCUCAAACCCCUUUUCCAAGGCAAGAUGGGGGGUUUGGCUGCACCCCUCAUCAGCCCUGCUGUGGCAAUGCUGGAUCACUCCCAUAGCCACUACUAGAUAGGAGACCAAGACAUGCUACAGGAACAAAGCUCAGCUUCCCUGACAUCUGCAAACAGGAAUGGUUUGGGGGCUCUUGUGUUCCAAUGAGCAUUUUACUAUGCCAAACCAUGAGAGAAAUCAAGCAAGGGAAAGGGAGAGGAGUCAGCAGGGCUACAAGGGGCUACACUCAAGGAAAUGGAAAGUGAUCAUUUUAACACACUUAGUGUCUGCCAAAGGUGCCAUAGCACUGGGAGCCCUUUCUCUUAUGAGCACCUAUAUAAAUAGAAAGCCUUAUAUGGAAAGAAAGGAGAAGCAGGUUCUCAAGACUGUCCUUGUUGCUACUGUGAUUGGCAAUCUGCUUCUGAAUGCAUAGGAUGAAGCAUUAUUCAAUGGAAAAAGUUACUAGAGGUCUGUUGGAAUCUUUCCAUGAAUGCCUCAUCUGCAAAAAUUACAUCAGAUCAAGAAAAAGGAAAGUGAGCUAAGCAGAAAGGCAUUCACAACAGGUGCAGAGCAAACUGGACAGCACAUUCCUGAUCCCCUCUGCCAGCUACAGGACACACUGCAGUGUCUCUCCUCACUGAUCUUGGACCAGAGGAGACUGGCACUGUCAAAGAGUCCUGAUGGACAUUGCCUUUCCUUUUUAGUUCCCUGGGGCUCCCAUCCACCUAUCUGUGCUGCUUACAUCCCCAGCAGCAGAGCAAAAAAAGAGCCAGUGGUAUUUCAUGCCGGACCACUGAAUGAUUCCAAGCUACCCAAACUAUUCUGGAGCUCAUUUGUUCCCCCAUUGUUAUCUCUAAAGUGCAGUUUGAUGGAGUCUCCAUGUUACA